rnacentral:rRNA from 1 species
GACGAACGCUGGCGGCGUGCUUAACACAUGCAAGUCGAACGGAAAGGCCCUGCUUUUGUGGGGUGCUCGAGUGGCGAACGGGUGAGUAACACGUGAGUAACCUGCCCUUGACUUUGGGAUAACUUCAGGAAACUGGGGCUAAUACCGGAUAGGAGCUCCUGCUGCAUGGUUGGGGUUGGAAAGUUUCGGCGGUUGGGGAUGGACUCGCGGCUUAUCAGCUUGUUGGUGGGGUAGUGGCUUACCAAGGCUUUGACGGGUAGCCGGCCUGAGAGGGUGACCGGCCACAUUGGGACUGAGAUACGGCCCAGACUCCUACGGGAGGCAGCAGUGGGGAAUAUUGCACAAUGGGCGGAAGCCUGAUGCAGCAACGCCGCGUGUGGGAUGACGGCCUUCGGGUUGUAAACCGCUUUCGCCUGUGACGAAGCGUGAGUGACGGUAAUGGGUAAAGAAGCACCGGCUAACUACGUG